GCUUUCCUUUACGUUCUGCCGCGAUGACGUCACUCCGGUCAGAGGAAACCUGGAACAGGGGCAAGUGAGCGCGCGAUCGAGGUAAAUCUCUCUGACGUGUGCCUGGCUGGCCCUCCAUUCAAGACCUCAGCAACAACCUGGCAAACUUUGGGACUUUAACAAAUGUGCUUCACCAAAAUGCAGAAGUGGCGGUCCCGGCCAGUCCGACAGGACUCAUGCAGGACAACACAACCGAUUCAUUCUGUGGGAAAGGUGAAGGCUGAUAUGUGAAGGUAGAAUUCUCCAGCAAACCCCUCUUAUCCCUGCCAACAGAGUCACUCCUGUUUUCGUUAGCAUUUAGAACCAGACAAAUGAAGAUGAAUGAUCGUGAUCGACGGGUCGAUCUCGGCGACUUUCCCUGUCGCUCUCCAAAAUAAAAUAAAAAUAAAUUCAGAAACGCAUAGUUCCUCAUUCUCGAACAUUUUCUGAAGUGUCUUCUGAAAUGUUUUCUGACGGACUUCAGAAGAUCAACGUCAGAAAAGAUCUCUGAUCGCCUGAUCCAUCCACGAACGCCUGAAAGUGGGUUCUUACACAGCCGAAGUGUUCUCACCUGUGCUCCCCGGAACGAGUUCAUCCAGCCUGCUCAUUGCAAAUGUGUUUUUUCUCAUUCAUAUUGUGUGCGGUUAACAAA